rnacentral:lncRNA from 1 species
AUGGAGACAGCAACCACUACAAAAAAAGGAAGCAAUAGUUACAUUUUUUUAAGUAACUAAUUUAUUUUGGUGACAAUUAUGGGUGGUCAACGCUCUUAACCAAAUUAGUCACCAUUAUUUGUGUCUAAUGAUUUAAAUAUAAUAAAUUUUGUUGUAGCUGACACAUGAACAAUAAUAAUGUAAUAAAAUAUAAGAGGAUAAUCUUUCCCAUAAUAAAAUAUUUACAAUGGUAAUUUAAUAAAAAUAUUAUAAUAAAAAAUGUGAGAACAAGUAUGAUGCGCCCAAACCAACCCCCAUUUUUCUUUCUUUUGUAAUUUUUAUUCUCCCCGUAUCUCAUCUCUCCCAACGCCUUCAUUUUUUUUUCCCACCUUCUUCUUCCUUCUGUCACUUUCCAUCUCUUCCUCUCUUUUUAUUUUUAUUUUCCUUCUUCUUCUUCUUCUCUCCCUCUUUUGCACGUCUCCCAUAUCUCUCUUUUUUUUUCUUUUUUUUCCAUCCCUCUCUCUUCUCUUCCUUCUUCUCCUUCUUCCCGCUCUCCCUCGAAAACCAGUUGUUGUCUGGCCUUAUCCUUUUCGUGGGCUACUAUUUCAUUGUAGGGUUUAAUUUCAGAUCUGAAUCGCAUCUCCCUUUAGAAAGGUAAAGGUUUUGUUUUUUGAAGUUUUCGUGUGGGUUUUAUUUCAGGAAUGGUUUUGGGUUUUAUUUAUGUGUGGGUUUUAUUUAUGAGACUCAAUUGGAAAGCUUCCAUCUCUCAACCUUCUAUUGAAAUCCUUUUCAAAUAAGAGUUUUUUAUAUGUGAAGCCCAACCGACGCCGACAUUGUUCACACAAAUCCAAUUGUCUCUUUGACAGCCAGGUUGAAGCCCAACCAUCGACGACGUCAAUGCCAUCAGUCUGAGCCUUCAUGUGUUCAAACGAUGUUGGCCUAGAUCCUGUUGUCUUUGUCUUUGGUUUAGGGUUUGAAGAACAUUUGUUUGUUUCCUACAUAUGUUGUAACAACCCGAUCCUAAAUUAAUGUUUAAUUAUUAAUUUAUUCAAGUAAAAGAUAAUUUUACCCCGGAAUAUUUUAAUGGUCUAAAAGUUGACCUUUUAUUCAGGAAGGAAUUUGAGAAUUUCAGUUGUAUCGUUUUGUGGAGCACAUCGAGUUGUGUCCGUAGUGGGCUCAAAUUCGAGUUGUAACGAGAGAGAUACAAUCAAAUUUCAAAGAGGGGCAAAAUUGUAAUUUUUGGAGGAUUGGUUUUAAAAACCAGAUUUCUCUCUCCCUCACUCUCUCUCCUUCCCUGUCGCGAGCCCCUUCCCCUCCGAAGCACAGCAGCGACGGCUUCACCGUCGCCACCGCCAUCACCGGCCGCCUCCUGGGCCGAGACCAGUUCCAUUCGAACCGCCGCCCCUCCCCCGACCUUUCCCACCCUGUCGCUGCCCCCGCAGCGUAGCCAGGUUGCCGGAAUCUGCAGGAAACACGCUGGAUUUUGUUAAAAAUAUCCAACGCUCUUUUGAGCGUCUUCGGC